CCUACGGGUGGCAGCAGUGAGGAAUAUUGGUCAAUGGCCGGAAGGCUGAACCAGCCAAGCCGCGUGAAGGACGAAGGUGCCAAGCAUUGUAAACUUCUUUUGUCAAGGGACAAAAUCAGGCUCGAGAGCCUGACCGAGGGUACUUGAAGAAAAAGCAUCGGCUAACUCCGUGCCAGCAGCCGCGGUAAUACGGAGGAUGCGAGCGUUAUCCGGAUUUAUUGGGUUUAAAGGGUGCGUAGGCGGGCUGUUAAGUCAGCGGGAAAAGCCCGGGGCUCAACCCCGGCGAGCCGGGGAAACUGGCUGUACUGAGAUGUCGAGAGGUAUGCGGGAUGCGGAGUGGAGCGGUGAAAUGCUUAGAUAUUGCGCAGAAAUCCGAUUGCGAAGGAAGGAUACCGGCGGCGAUCUGACGCUGAGGCACGAAAGCGUGGGUAUCGAACAGGAUUAGAUACCCUUGUAGUC
rnacentral:rRNA from 1 species